UCCUCCUACAAAGGCAGGUCUAUGGUUUCCUGUCUUUUGGACAGAUAAGAACUGGAGGCAAGGAAAUGUGGAUUUGGAGAAGUCGGUGCUAGCUUCCUUGCUGCAGGCUCACGAUCAACCAUCCCAUGUAG
ensembl:snoRNA